rnacentral:rRNA from 1 species
GACGAACGCUGGCGGCAUGCCUAACACAUGCAAGUCGAGCGAGCAGAUCCCUUCGGGGUGAAGCUAGCGGCGGACGGGUGAGUAACACGUGGGCAACCUGCCUCAUAGAGGGGAAUAGCCUUCCGAAAGGAAGAUUAAUACCGCAUAAGAUUGUAGCUUCGCAUGGAGCAGCAAUGAAAGGAGCAAUCCGCUAUGAGAUGGGCCCGCGGCGCAUUAGCUAGUUGGUGAGGUAACGGCUCACAAAGGCGACGAGGCGUAGCCGACCUGAGAGGGUGAUCGGCCACAUUGGGACUGAGACACGGCCCAGACUCCUACGGGAGGCAGCAGUGGGGAAUAUUGCACAAUGGGGGAAACCCUGAUGCAGCAAUGCCGCGUGAGUGAUGACGGCCUUCGGGUUGUAAAGCUCUGUCUUCGGGGACGAUAAUGACGGUACCCGAGGAGGAAGCCACGGCUAACUACGUGCCAGCCGCCGCGGUAA